CGGUGGAGCAUGUGGUUUAAUUCGAAGCAACGCGAAGAACCUUACCAGGUCUUGACAUCCUUUGACCACUCUAGAGAUAGAGCUUUCCCUUCGGGGACAAAGUGACAGGUGGUGCAUGGUUGUCGUCAGCUCGUGUCGUGAGAUGUUGGGUUAAGUCCCGCAACGAGCGCAACCCUUAUUGUUAGUUGCCAUCAUUAAGUUGGGCACUCUAGCGAGACUGCCGGUGACAAACCGGAGGAAGGUGGGGAUGACGUCAAAUCAUCAUGCCCCUUAUGACCUGGGCUACACACGUGCUACAAUGGACAGUACAAUGAGCAGCGACACGGCGACGUGAAGCGAAUCUCAUAAAGCUGUUCUCAGUUCGGAUUGUAGGCUGCAACUCGCCUACAUGAAGCCGGAAUCGCUAGUAAUCGCGGAUCAGCACGCCACGGUGAAUACGUUCCCGGGCCUUGUACACACCGCCCGUCACACCACGAAAGUUUGUAACACCCGAAGUCGGUGAGGUAACCGCAAGGAGCCAACCGCCUAAGGUGGGAUAGAUGAUUGGGGUGAAGUCGUAACAAGGUAACCAAGGGCGAAUUCCAG
rnacentral:rRNA from 1 species